rnacentral:rRNA from 1 species
GUUUGAUCCUGGCUCAGGACGAACGCUGGCGGCGUGCUUAACACAUGCAAGUCGAGCGGAAAGGCCACUUCGGUGGUACUCGAGCGGCGAACGGGUGAGUAACACGUGAGUAAUCUGCCCUUGGCUUUGGGAUAGCCACCGGAAACGGUGAUUAAUACCGGAUACGACCACUUCACGCAUGUGAUGGUGGUGGAAAGUUUUUCGGCCAGGGAUGUGCUCGCGGCCUAUCAGCUUGAUGGUGAGGUAAUGGCUCACCAUGGCUUCGACGGGUAGCCGGCCUGAGAGGGUGACCGGUCACACUGGGACUGAGACACGGCCCAGACUCCUACGGGAGGCAGCAGUGGGGAAUAUUGGACAAUGGGCGGAAGCCUGAUCCAGCAACGCCGCGUGAGGGAUGACGGCCUUCGGGUUGUAACCCUCUUUCGCCUGUGACGAAGCGCAAGUGACGGUAACAGGUAAAGAAGCACCGGCCAACUACGUGCCAGCAGCCGCGGUAAUACGUAGGGUGCGAGCGUUGUCCGGAAUUAUUGGGCGUAAAGGGCUCGUAGGCGGUUUGUCGCGUCGGGAGUGAAAACCAGGUGCUUAACACCUGGCUUGCUUUCGAUACGGGCAGACUAGAGGUAUUCAGGGGAGAACGGAAUUCCUGGUGUAGCGGUGAAAUGCGCAGAUAUCAGGAGGAACACCGGUGGCGAAGGCGGUUCUCUGGGAAUGACCUGACGCUGAGGAGCGAAAGUGUGGGGAGCGAACAGGAUUAGAUACCCUGGUAGUCCACACCGUAAACGUUGGGCGCUAGGUGUGGGGUCCAUUCCACGGAUUCCGUGCCGCAGCUAACGCAUUAAGCGCCCCGCCUGGGGAGUACGGCCGCAAGGCUAAAACUCAAAGGAAUUGACGG